AUUGAACGCUGGCGGCAGGCCUAACACAUGCAAGUCGAAUGGUAACAGGAAACAGCUUGCUGUUUCGCUGACGAGUGGCGGACGGGUGAGUAAUGUCUGGGAAACUUCCUGAUGGAGGGGGAUAACUACUGGAAACGGUAGCUAAUACCGCAUAACGUCGCAAGACCAAAGAGGGGGACCUUCGGGCCUCUUGCCAUCAGAUGUGCCCAGAUGGGAUUAGCUAGUAGGUGGGGUAACGGCUCACCUAGGCGACGAUCCCUAGCUGGUCUGGGAGGAUGACCAGCCACACUGGAACUGAGACACGGUCCAGACUCCUACGGGAGGCAGCAGUGGGGAAUAUUGCACAAUGGGCGCAAGCCUGAUGCAGCCAUGCCGCGUGUAUGAAGAAGGCCUUCGGGUUGUAAAGUACUUUAAGCGGGGAGGAAGGGAGUAAAGUUAAUACCUUUGCUCAUUGACGUUACCCGCAGAAGAAGCACCGGCUAACUCCGUG
rnacentral:rRNA from 1 species